UACAGAGGGUGCGAGCGUUAAUCGGCAUUACUGGGCGUAAAGCGCGCGUAGGCGGCUUUGCAAGUCGGGUGUGAAAUCCCCAGGCUUAACCUGGGAACUGCAUUCGAGACUGCAUUGCUAGAGUAUGGGAGAGGGAAGUGGAAUUUCCGGUGUAGCGGUGAAAUGCGUAGAUAUCGGAAGGAACAUCAGUGGCGAAAGCGACUUCCUGGACCAAUACUGACGCUCAUGUGCGAAAGCGUGGGGAGCAAACAGG
rnacentral:rRNA from 1 species